AUUGAACGCUGGCGGCAUGCUUUACACAUGCAAGUCGAACGGUAACAGGCCGCAAGGUGCUGACGAGUGGCGAACGGGUGAGUAAUGCAUCGGAACGUGCCCAGUCGUGGGGGAUAACGCAGCGGAAGCUGCGCUAAUACCGCAUACGAUCUAUGGAUGAAAGCGGGGGACCGUAAGGCCUCGCGCGAUUGGAGCGGCCGAUGUCAGAUUAGGUAGUUGGUGGGGUAAAGGCUCACCAAGCCAACGAUCUGUAGCUGGUCUGAGAGGACGACCAGCCACACUGGGACUGAGACACGGCCCAGACUCCUACGGGAGGCAGCAGUGGGGAAUUUUGGACAAUGGGCGCAAGCCUGAUCCAGCAAUGCCGCGUGCAGGAAGAAGGCCUUCGGGUUGUAAACUGCUUUUGUACGGAACGAAACGGCUCUCUCUAAUACAGGGGGCUAAUGACGGUACCGUAAGAAUAAGCACCGGCUAACUACGUGCCAGCAGCCGCGGUAAGAC
rnacentral:rRNA from 1 species